UGAUGAAGUUUUUUUUAUUGUUUUAUACAAUAAACAAUGUAUAUUCACUUUUACUACCAACCAAUCUUUACCAUUCAGUGAUAACAAGCACUUUAUUUUACAUUUUAAUAUUUUAUGAUGUAUUUAAAAGAGUAGUUAUUGUUGCAAACUCCAUUAGAAAUUUGAAUUGAUAUCAGUUUUGGAAAAAGGGAAACGGGGAUGUGAAAAAAAAGGGGGGGGGUUUAAAUUUUUCUCAUUUCAGAUUUCAUAAAUAAAAAGAAAAUUUCUUAAAACAUUUUUUUUAGAGGAUUAAUAUUCAACAGCAUAGUUAAUUGCUCAAAGGCAAAAAAAAAUGUUUUAAGUUCAUUAGACCACAUUCAUUCUGUGUCAGAAACCUAUGCUGUGUCAACUAUUUAAUUUUAGAUUUAAAUAAGUUUAAAGAAGAAAUCUUUAAUUGAUUUGUAAAAUCUUGACAUUUGUUUUGUGUAAAAAAACCCAUGUAAUGUCAAAAAUUUGAUCACAAUCCAAAUUCAGAGCUGUAUCACGCUUGAAUGUUUUGUCCAUACUUGCCCCAACUGUUCAGGGUUCGACCUCUGCGGUCGUAUAAAGCUGCGCCCUGCGGAGCACCUGGUUUACAUUUGAUUACAAAUUCAAUCAUGUGUUUGAAGUCAUAUUGCAGACAUGUAUUAUACCUUUUUUGAUAAUAACUAUGUAUUUCCACUUUUUCAUGAAUUAGUUGAAAUUCUAAAUAGAUAUUUCUGUAAAAUUUCAAUAUGAAAAAUUUGGAACAUCAAAAUAUUAAUUUUUGAAAGCUUACUGUUUAUGAAUUUAAGAAUUUGUGCAAUAUGUU
rnacentral:lncRNA from 1 species